GCCUACGGGGCGCAGCAGUGGGGAAUAUUGCACAAUGGGGGAAACCCUGAUGCAGCAACGCCGCGUGAAGGAAGACGGUUUUCGGAUUGUAAACUUCUGUUCUUAGUGAAGAAAAAUGACGGUAGCUAAGGAGCAAGCCACGGCUAACUACGUGCCAGCAGCCGCGGUAAUACGUAGGGAGCAAGCGUUGUCCGGAAUUACUGGGUGUAAAGGGAGCGUAGGCGGGGAUGCAAGUUGGGUGUCAAAACUACCGGCUCAACCGAUAGUCGCACUCAAAACUGCAGCUCUUGAGUGAAGUAGAGGCA
rnacentral:rRNA from 1 species